AGAUGGAGAGAAUGGAGAUUCAGAGAAGUUAAGAAACUCGACAAAGUCACACAGCUAAUCAGCAGAGGCACUUAUCUUCUCUCCAGACGAGAAACCUGAAACCUUAAAUGUCCAAGAAAACGCCUUUGGAAAGUCAUAGAGCUGCAAUUUGAAUCCAAGUCCCCAGCUUCAGAGGUUGCUGUGAUGAUUCCAGAUGCACAUUUAUAGCUGUUGAAGGUUCUCGAAGAAGGUGCAGAAGAGAAACCUUCGGACAGCAUUAAGGUG